rnacentral:lncRNA from 1 species
GGUGUAACCACACAAUGGAAUGUUAUUUGGCCAUAAAAAGAAAUGAAGUAGUGAUACAUGCUACAACUUGUUGCCACACACUAGAGGGAGAGAGGAUUGGGGAGUAACUACUAAUGGGUACAGGGUUUCUUUUUGGGAUGAUUAAAAUAUGCUAGAAUUAGUAGUGAUAAUGGUUGCACAGUUCUGUAAAUAUACUAAAACUGCUUAAUUGCAUGUUCUAAAACAGUGAAUUUGUGGUAUGAUUCUGUUUUCCCAGCUUUCUUGAGGUAUGAUUGACAAAAUUGUGUAAAUUUAUGGUGUGCAACAUGCUGAUUUGAUAUACAUAUACAUUGUGAAAUGAGUGCCACAAUCGUGUUAGUUAACACAUCUGUCACCUCACCCACUUACAUUUGUGUGUGUGUGUGUGCUAAAAACAUUUAAGAUCUUUACCAGACCCAAAAGUUUUUAAUUACAUGCAAAUUAAGAGGUUUGUUAUUCAGAAUGCUCUAGAAAAGAACAAAUGCCGAGUUGUUGCCAUGGAAAGGGGUGGUAACUUGCAGCUCGUUGCCAUGGCAUUUGUAAACUGUCACGGCACUGGUGGGAGUGUCUUAUGCUAAUGAGCAGCAAGGGUAAAUAGAGGUUGCCUUUGGCACCAUCUGCUGGCUUCUUUACUUCAUCCUGGGACCAGGAAGUAAGUCCGCUGGUCUCCUAAGUCGCCUCCGCAGGCAUAGAAAUGGGAACUUCUCUUUUGCUCCCCACAAAACAACCAGAGCGUGGAACAUAUGAAGUAAAGAAUAAUAUUUAUUGAAUGAAGACAUGAAUUUAACCCUGCAGGCCUAGGUGGGAGCUUCCAGUGCCUCUUGUCAUCAUUCUGGUAUGUCCAGGAAGUGGGAGGUGGCACCAAUGUGUAGCCACCCUGCCUGAGCCCACCAGCCUUGGAGUCAGAACACCCUGGGGUAAAUCCUGGCUCAGCUCUUCUCAGCUAUGUGAUCUCGGGGCUAGACCUUCCAGUAUCGUGUAGAAUAACAGCGGUGAGGCAGAACAUCCUUGUUUCCGUCUUAGGAGGAAAGCGCCAUUAGGAAAGCAUCAUAAGAGGAAAGCAGUCUUUCACCAUUACGUAUAUUAGCUGUGGAUUUUUUUGUUUUGUAUAAUUGUUUUACAUGUUCUUUAUCAAGUUGAAAUAAUUUUGCACUAUUUAUGACUUGCUGGGAGACUUAAUGAGUUUUGGAUUUUGUCAAAUGCUUUCUUUUUGCAUCAAUUCAUAUGAUUAUAUGCUUUUCUUUCCUUGGCUUGUUGAUAUGGUGGAUUGAUUGAUUUUUGAAUGUUGAACUACCAUAGCUGUAAUAAAUCUAACUUGAUAAUGGUGAAUAAUUAUUUUUAUGCAUUGUUGGAUUUGGCUUGCUUAUAUUUUGUCAAGGAUUUUUGCAUCAGAAUUAAUAAGAGAUACUGGUCUGUAAUUUUCUUUCUUUUUAUUUCGUCUCAUAAUAUUGGCCUCAUGAAAUGAAUUGAGAAGUGUUUCCUCUGCUUCUAUUUUUUGGAGGAGAUUGUGUAAAAUUGGUGUUGUGUUUUUCAAAUGUUUGGUAGAAUUAUCCAGCUUGGAGCAUUUUAAUUAUGAAUUCAGUUAUUUUAAUGAAUUUUUUUUUUUUUUGAGACAGAGUCUCGCUUUGUCACCCAGGCUGGAGUGU